AUAUAAGCAAAUUUUACUUUUUAGAUUCAUUCAAUUAAUGAUGUAUGUGGUUUAUAAUAUGGACCACAUACAUCAUUAAUUGAAUGAACCUAAAGUAAAAUUUGCUUAUAU
rfam:Medicago truncatula strain A17 chromosome 8, whole genome shotgun sequence.